GUGCCAGACAUUGUGCUCAGUGAUGAUGGACAUGGGCAGCGUCCCUUGGGAACUUGCAAUUCAGCUGAAACAGUGAAACCAGCAGAUUCAAGGCUACAAUUCAGACAGCCGGCGAGAAAACCCAUAAGGCAUGGGAAAGAAAAUAGGCACUGUGUGGAUACAGAGGAGAUCAUUUUGGACCUAGCUAACCAGAAAAAUGAGGAUGAUGAGGUGUUCAACAGAUGGAGGUGGUGUGAGGUGAUAACAGGAGUAUUCUGUUUAAUAACAUAGUGAUGAUCUUUGUAUAUCACAGACCAUCAUAGCCUAUGCAUCUUAAAAGAAGGUUUCCAUUUAUCAGAACCAGAGAUAACCAAUUCAAACUGAAAAGGUCACUCUAGAGCCUCAUUCCCACAAGAGAUAUCAUGUGGCUUCAAGAAACUUCAAGGUAUCCAUGCGUUACUCAUCUGAGGAUCUUCAGAACUUAAACCAGAGCCUAAUGCAAAGGAACAAUCUAAUUAAUGCUAAUUGAGAGGAAAUGGAUGAAUAAUCAAAUAUUCCCUUUGCUUUGUGCUGAAGAAUUGAUGCUUUUGAACUAUGGUGUUGGAGAAGACUCUUGAGAGUCCCUUGGACUGCAAGGAGAUCAAACCAGGCAAUCCAAAAUGAAAUCAACCCUGAAUAUUCACUGGAAGAACUGAAGCUGAAGCUCCAAUACUUUGGCCACCUGAUGCGAAGAACUGAUUCAUUGGAAAAGACCCUGAUGCUGGGAAAGAUUGAAAGCAGGAGGAAAAGGCAGCGACAGGGGAUGAGAUGGCUGGAUGGCAUCACCGACUCAAUGGACACGACUUUGAGUCAACUCUGGGAGAUAGUGAAGGACAGGGAAGCCUGACAUGCUACAGUCCAUGGGGUCGAAAGAGUUGAACAUGACUUAGCAACUGAACUUUGUUUUCAGUGAAUGGGCUGAUUAAAUUAGGCAGAAGAAGCUGUUCUAUAUGGCAAACUCUCCACAUGUCAAACCCAUCAACCAAUAAUGAGACUGCACCAUGUGCUAGGAUGUGCUCACUUGCUCAGUUGGGUCCGACUCUUUGUGAUCCCAUGGACUGUAGCCCACCAGGCUACUCGGUCCAUGGGAUUUUCCCAGCAAGAAUCCUGGAAUCUAUUGUCAUCUCCUCCUCCAGGGGGUCUUCCUCACCAAGACCUCUUGGAUUCAAGAGACCUGAAUCCAAGCCUCUUGCAUCUCCUACAGUAGCAGGCAGAUUCUUCACCACUGUAGCACCUGGGAAGCCCCAGUUGCCAUGAUAUUGGUGGUGGUUAUUCGUUUCUCUGCAUAUUGACUUGUUUAUAUUUCAACACCCACCUUUUCCAUUUCCAUUCAACUGUUGUUUAUUUAAUUCUAACGACCAACUAUGAAAUAAGAUAUAUUAUCCUCAUUUUGCAGCUGAGGAAACAACAAAGGCUCAGAAAUAUUAAUAGUUUUAUGAUCUCCAUCAAUUCACUCAGCUAAUAAGGGCUGGAAACUGGAUUUCACUGUGGAAUGUUUUUGAUUCCCAGUUUGCAAAGGACAACUUAUGAAGAAGUCUUAGAAGAAAGCUAUUCCAAAAACUCACUGAUCUCUUCUGCCCAAGAGAAAGUUCUAUACUCGCAGGACCAGCCUUGCACUGGGUUUUGCCCAAGAGGCAUUAAGAGAAAAUUCUGUCACAGAGAUAGUCUCUGCAAAUGAAAUUGGAAGAUCCAGGAAACCGGAGAAAAUAAAAUACCC
ensembl:lncRNA